UACGGCCAUAUCAUUGUAUUUCCGGUUCUCGUACGAUCACCGAAGUUAAGCAACGUCGGCCUGGUUAGUACUAAGGUAGGUGUAUGACAUGGGAAUAUCAAGUGUCGUAAG